GACGAACGCUGGCGGCAUGCCUAAUACAUGCAAGUCGAGCGGACAGAAGGGAGCUUGCUCCCGGAAGUCAGCGGCGGACGGGUGAGUAACACGUGGGCAACCUGCCCCUUAGAUUGGGAUAACUUCGGGAAACCGAAGCUAAUACCGAAUAAUACAAGGAACCUCCUGGUUCUCUGUUGAAAGAUGGCCUUUGUGCUGUCACUAAGGGGUGGGCCCGCGGCGCAUUAGCUAGUUGGUAAGGUAACGGCUUACCAAGGCGACGAUGCGUAGCCGACCUGAGAGGGUGAUCGGCCACACUGGGACUGAGACACGGCCCAGACUCCUACGGGGGGCAGCAGUAGGGAAUCUUCCGCAAUGGACGAAAGUCUGACGGAGCAAUGCCGCGUGAGUGAGGAAGGCCUUCGGGUCGUAAAGCUCUGUUGUGAGGGAAGAACAAGUACCGGCGUAACUACCGGUACCGUGACGGUACCUCACCAGAAAGCCACGGCUAACUACGUGCCAGCCGCCGCCGUAA
rnacentral:rRNA from 1 species